GACGAACGCUGGCGGCGUGCUUAACACAUGCAAGUCGAACGGAAAGGCCCUGCUUUUGUGGGGUGCUCGAGUGGCGAACGGGUGAGUAACACGUGAGUAACCUGCCCUUGACUUUGGGAUAACUUCAGGAAACUGGGGCUAAUACCGGAUAGGAGCUCCUGCUGCAUGGUGGGGGUUGGAAAGUUUCGGCGGUUGGGGAUGGACUCGCGGCUUAUCAGCUUGUUGGUGGGGUAGUGGCUUGCCAAGGCUUUGACGGGUAGCCGGCCUGAGAGGGUGACCGGGAAACGGGGGAGAGAGAUACGGCCGACAGCAGUGGGGGGGGGAGCAGGGGGGAAGGAUGCAAAAUGGGGGGAAGCCGGGUGGGGCAACGCCGCGUGCGGGUUGAGGGCCUUGGGGGUGUAAAAGGAUUCCGCCUGGGAGGAAGGGUGGGGACGGUAAUGGGGGAAGAAGCCCCGGCUAACUACGUG
rnacentral:rRNA from 1 species